UACAGAGGGGGCAAGCGUUGUUCGGAAUUACUGGGCGUAAAGGGCGCGUAGGCGGCCUGUUAAGUCGAACGUGAAAUCCCCGGGCUCAACCCGGGAACUGCGUCCGAUACUGGCAGGCUUGAAUCCGGGAGAGGGAUGCGGAAUUCCAGGUGUAGCGGUGAAAUGCGUAGAUAUCUGGAGGAACACCGGUGGCGAAGGCGGCAUUCUGGACCGACAUUGACGCUGAGGAGCGAAAGCCAGGGGAGCAAACGGGG
rnacentral:rRNA from 1 species